ACAGCGCCAAAGCCGCGAGGCUCACUACACACAGGAUCGCUCUUAGCGUCCCCUUUCGUGAGCGGGCUAAGGUCUGAGUAUUCUAGGCCCCCUCGAUCGACUCUCGCAGAGUCCAGCGUCAACAGCGCUGAACAGUACACCAGAGAAACUGCGUGCAGUCCCAGCGAUCCCAAGAUUCUCUUUAUCAGAGUUGAGGACGAGACUGUGGUGCUUUGGGAUAUGCUGUGGGGUCUGGGCAGAUUCUCGUUCGUUGGGAUUGCGUGGCGUGCCUAUCACUGGUCUCUUGUGCCGCUCAGGCGCACUUUGGUUCAUCGGGUGACCACGUGCACGGAAUCUCAGACGAAAGGCGUCUUAGAGGGAUUCCAUAAGAUCCCCAAACGAGACGUCAGGCUAACGUCUUCGGCGUUUUGGGGCUUCGUAGAGGUGGAUCACUUCCUAUGGCGCUGGGUUUUGAACGUAAAUGGGUCGCACGAUCCAUGUGUCCGGGACCAGCAGGAGGGCUAGAAGUUAUGCGUCCCAGCGCACACGAGCAUCUGUCUUUCAGUGCCAUUCACGGCUCGUGAUGCCUUCGGGCUCAUGAAACUCGAUUCAGACUACUCUUGCGCUGU
rnacentral:RNase_P_RNA from 2 species